CGGGUUCCUCGCCGGAAAUGGGUGUUCCUACACCCGAGUUUGUUUUCAUCCUAAAACCUCCAAAAAUCACGAAAUAAAACCAAUUAGAACCCAUUCUCACAAGAUUCUAGGACGAAAGAGAGGGAUUUGAGGCUUACCUAACCGGAAAAUAUAAAAAUCUCGCCGGAGAUCCUUUCCGGUUUUCUGUGUUCGCAGACACGAGAGGGAGAGAGAGCAGGACGAGAUGAUGAUGAUGAGUGGCUUCCUCGCGUACGCCUGCGUGCGUGCGUGCUGCUGCGGUGCAGAGAAGAGGGAGAGAAGAGAUAUGAGAGAGAGCUGAGAGGGAGAGACAGAAAGACAGAAAACGAAAAAGAAGAAGGAAGGGGCUUCACGGGGGGACAGAGAGAGUGAAGGGGG
rnacentral:lncRNA from 1 species